CCUACGGGAGGCAGCAGUGAGGAAUAUUGGUCAAUGGGCGCGAGCCUGAACCAGCCAAGUCGCGUGAGGGAAGACGGCCCUAUGGAUUGUAAACCUCUUUUGUCGGGGAGCAAAACCCGCCACGCGUGGCGUUCCGCGAGUAUCCGAAGAAAAAGCAUCGGCUAACUCCGUGCCAGCAGCCGCGGUAAUACGGAGGAUGCGAGCGUUAUCCGGAUUUAUUGGGUUUAAAGGGUGCGUAGGCGGAAUGUUAAGUCAGCGGUAAAAUUUCGGGGCUCAACCCCGUCGAGCCGUUGAAACUGGUGGUCUUGAGUGGGCGAGAAGUAUGCGGAAUGCGUGGUGUAGCGGUGAAAUGCAUAGAUAUCACGCAGAACUCCGAUUGCGAAGGCAGCAUACCGGCGCCAAACUGACGCUGAAGCACGAAAGCGUGGGUAUCGAACAGGAUUAGAUACCCCUGUAGUC
rnacentral:rRNA from 1 species